GUGAAUCAUCGAAUCUUUGAACGCACCUUGCGCUCCUUGGUAUUCCGAGGAGCAUGCCUGUUUGAGUGUCAUGGAAUUCUCAACUCUAUUUGCUUUUGUGAAUAGAGCUUGGACUUGGAGGUUUAUUGCCGGUACCUGUGAUCGGCUCCUCUUGAAUGCAUUAGCUCGAACCUUUUGUGGAUCAGCUUAUCGGUGUGAUAAAAUGUCUACGCCGUUACUGUGAAGCAUAUUAUUCGGCUUCCAAUCGUCCUUCACGGGACAAUAACUUUGACCUUUGACCUCAAAUCAGGUAGGAUUACCCGCUGAACUUAA
rnacentral:rRNA from 1 species